AGGAAUAUAGUUAAAAAUAACAUUUGAUUUGCAUUCAAAAAGUAUUGAUAAUUCAAUUAUUCUUA
rnacentral:tRNA from 1 species